rnacentral:rRNA from 1 species
GAUGAACGCUGGCGGCGUGCUUAACACAUGCAAGUCGAACGGAAAGGCUCCUGCUUGCAGGGGUACUCGAGUGGCGAAGGGGUGAGUAACACGUGGGUGAUCUGCCCUGCACUGCGGGAUAAGCCUGGGAAACUGGGUCUAAUACCGGAUAGGACGAUGGUUUGGAUGCGAUUGUGGAAAGUUUUUCGGUGUGGGAUGAGCUCGCGGCCUAUCAGCUUGUUGGUGGGGUAAUGGCCUACCAAGGCGUCGACGGGUAGCCGGCCUGAGAGGGUGUACGGCCACAUUGGGACUGCGAUACGGCCCAGACUCCUACGGGAGGCAGCAGUGGGGAAUAUUGCACAAUGGGCGCAAGCCUGAUGCAGCGACGCCGCGUGGGGAAUGACGGCCUUCGGGUUGUAAACUCCUUUCGCUAGGGACGAAGCGCAAGUGACGGUACCUGGAGAAGAAGCACCGGCUAACUACGUG